CCAGUCUCCCUUUGCCACUGACUGAAGGAGCAUCUGUUAAAGACCUGAAUCUCCUGUGUCACACACAUACAGUUAGCUCAUGGAAAAGAAUCCAGUUCCUCCUCCUUACCCGGGAUUACCCACAGAUCCUGGCUAUGGUGCCGCUUAUCCGCCGUUACCUGCACACCAGCAAGGUCCAGGCCAAUUUCCCCCAACUCAAUAUGGAAUGAACCAGCCAGCCGCACCACACGUGGGUGAGUCUGAAUGGCAUGCUGUCUAACCAGUUCUGAAACUAUUGACUUUCUCAU